AGCAGCCGCGGUAAUUCCAGCUCCAAUAGCGUAUAUUAAAGUUGUUGCAGUUAAAAAGCUCGUAGUUGAAUUUCGGAAUCUGUCCAUCGGUCGGGCUUCACUGUCCGUACUGGUGUGGUGGGUUCUUACCUUCUGAAUAACCAGCAUGCCAUUCACUUGGUGCGUUGGGGAAGCAGGACUAUUACCUUGAAAAAAUUAGAGUGCUCAAAGCAGGCUAGUGCCUGAAUACAUUAGCAUGGAAUAAUAAAAUAGGACGGCAUGGUUCUAUUUCGUUGGUUUCUAGGAUCACCGUAAUGAUUAAUAGGGAUAGUUGGGGGCAUUAGUAUUCAAUUGUCAGAGGUGAAAUUCUUGGAUUUAUUGAAGACUAACUUCUGCGAAAGCAUUUGCCUAAGGAUGUUUUCAUUAAUCAAGAACGAAAGUUAGGGGAUCGAAGACGAUCAGAUACCGUCGUAGUCUUAACCAUAAACUAUGCCGACUAGGGAUCGGACGAUGUUAAUUUUUUAAUGACUCGUUCGGCG
rnacentral:rRNA from 1 species